GACAUCUGUGGGGACAAGAGAGUCAAGUUCAAGCUCUGUGUCCACACCUACUGCCAGAUCCUCGCCAGUGGCCUUUACCCACGAGAGGACACUGGAAACUUUCUUGUUGGGGACACCAGGCGUAUCAUCGGAGAGGCAGCCAAGAAGAGCUGCUUCGUCUGCUCCAA